AUAAGAAGAAGAACAACAAUCACAAA
rnacentral:sRNA from 1 species